AAUUGGUAUAAGCAACAAAUAUCUUUUGAUCCUUAAUAGAAUAUGACAAAAAGCUCAAAAUUAAAGAUACUCAAAUAUUGGAAGAGAAGACACAAGUAGAGGAGAAGAAACAUAAUAUUACUGAAGAUUAUGAAAAACUGAAACUCAAAGUAGCUGUUAUGGAGGAGAAGGAGGAACAAUAUCUCAAGGAGAAACAAAUCAUUAUUGAUGAUGUUCAAAAUCUGAAAAUUGACGUUUCUGAG